rnacentral:lncRNA from 7 species
UCUCCCCCUUUUCCCUUUGCUGCAUAACAACAGUAGCGCCGCCAUUACUGCCGUGAGAGAGCGAUAGUGGGCCUUCGCCGAGACUAUGAGCCACACGGAACAAGUUGGUCAGGGGUCUGCACCAAGCUAGUGCGAAACCAACCGCGGUAGUUGCUGGCGGAAUCGAUGGCUGGCCAACCCUUAAUUGCUC